AGCUAGCAAGAGAUUCACUAAAUUAGUAGAGAUGGACAUUUUUACACAGUUAGAAAAAUGUGCUUUCCACAUUUUAUAAUACAUGCAUUCUUACUCUUGGUUUCCUGGUGACUUGCUCAGUGUCUACCAUCCUAGAUUCCACAUGUCAUCUUAACUUAAUUGUCCAUAAGAGCUUGGAGGUAACAUAUGUACUAAGUGUGAGGCCUGCUUCUUUCAUAUGAUUAAAACUUAGCACUAGAAGGAUCUCUCUUGUGGGUCAUAGUGAACUGACAUGUUUUUGGUAGAUCAAUGCUCUAUCAUCUUGGAAGAGAUGGCCUAACAUAAGAACAUUGCAAUCUGGUACUGCCAAUGGGACAAGCAUGCUUGGGAAAGCUCACAGUGUCAAAGGAAGCCAGAUGCUAUAUUAUCUGCCAAAGGUGGUCUCAUUUUCAAAAGCAUUUGAAAAUAUUAACCCAUUACCUUUCAGGCCAUCACGGUGAGGGAGUGUACUGGCUGGUUUUGUGUCAACUUGACAUAAGCUCGAGUUAUCACAGUUAUCCUUGAGGAAAUGCCUCCAUGAGAUCCAGCUGGAAGGCAUUUUUGCAAUUAGUGAUCAAGGAGAGAGAGCCCAUUGUGAGUGGUACCAUCCUUGGGCUGGUAGUCUUGGGUUCUAUAAGAAAGCAAGCUGAGUAAGCCAGGGGAAGCAAGCCAGUAAGUAACAUCCCUCCAUGGGCUCUGCAUCAGCUCCUGCUUCCUGACCUGCCUGAGUUCCAGUCCUGACUUCCUUUGGUGAUGAAAUAGCAACAUGGAGUGGAAGUGUAAGCUGAAUAAACCCUUUCCUCCUCAACUUGCUUCUUGGUCAUGAUGUUUGUGCAGGAAUAGAAACCCAGACUAAGACAGGCAGGACUAUCUACUUAGGAAAAAAAUUAAUUAUUAAAAUACAAUAAAUAUGCUAUUUAAAUGCUGAUCAUAAAGGCAGGUAAAUAUUAUUGUCUCUGUUUUAUGGACUUGGGAAUUAAGUCAUGAAGAAUAGAAUCACAGGUAUUGAGUAUUAAGUAAUUUCCAACUGGGAUGGUAUAAAUAAAAAUGCAGAUGAAUUUCUUAUUAGAACUCAGCAUUUCUUUUGUUUACCAUCUAUGCUAAGACUUAGAUCAGAUCUUUUGGCAAUGAAAUUGAGCAAUGAGAAAUAUUGGGACUUGAAAUAUUGUUCAAAUGUUUGGGAGUAAGAAAUGAUGUUAUGGUUCAAUCCACAAUAUGUGGUUUAUUUUAAUGAUCUGUUUAUUUUUAUUGUAUGUGUAUGAGUCUGUGCUUGUAUGUAUGUGUGUGCAUGACAUGUGUGCUUUGAAGAUGGAAGUCAGAGAGCAUGUCAGAUUCCUUGGAACUACACUCAUGUAAGUGUUUAUGAGCCACCUUGUGGGUGCUGGGAACCAAACUCAGGCCCUCUGCAUGCACAGCAAGUGUUUUUAACCACUGAGCCAUCACUCCAGCCUUCUCCCACAUCAAGUGUUUUUUCUAUAGCAGAGUCUUUUUCUCUGAGCUUCCAGCUAUAUACACUCAUGUAUUUGUAUAUUAUUACUAAUAAAUUAUA
rnacentral:lncRNA from 1 species